UACGGGGGGGGUAAGCGUUGUUCGGAAUUACUGGGCGUAAAGGGCUCGUAGGCGGCCCUCUCAGUCGGAUGUGAAAUCCCCAGGCUUAACCUGGGAACGGCAUCCGAUACUGGAGGGCUUGAAUUCGGGAGAGGGAUGCAGAAUUCCAGGUGUAGCGGUGAAAUGCGUAGAUAUCUGGAGGAAUACCGGUGGCGAAGGCGGCAUCCUGGACCGAGAUUGACGCUGAGGAGCGAAAAGCUAGGGGGAGCAAACGGG
rnacentral:rRNA from 1 species